CAUAAUCCCAACCUGUCCAAAUGUCUUCCCUAGGUUCCAGGAACCAGUGAAGUCCCCAUUGAAAUGUAGAGGAAUAGAACGUGAGGUGAACAGAAGGACAUCAACAAGAGGGAAAUCGCAGAGCAACAGGGGUUCAUGCACCUUCCUUCAAGCGCCAUAGCAAGGCUGGCACUGGAUGGGGUGCCAGUUCCUGAGUCUCCUGAAGUCUAGGAGUCUGUCGCCCAGCGGGGAGAAGCGCUGCUGAGAAGUGAGCUGCCGUCCCGCAUCUGUUCCCCGGCGAUUCCACACCCUGCGCCCUCCUGUCUGGCUCCCUCAGGCUGUGAAUGCCAUCAGGUGCGCUCGUGAUUCAGCCGGCACAUCCGCGUGGGCUGUCCCUUCCCAAGCGUGGCCAAAUGUGUGUGGGCAUAUACAGCUAUGCACGAUUGUGCAAAAGAGGAGAUUAUUUUUGUUGAUUUCAUUAUUUAUUUAUCUAUAUAUUUUUUGCGAUAGAAGUUACAUACCAUAUGGAAUUGUGCUUUGUCAGAAUUCCUUUCUUCCCAGAGAAGGCUGUUCCAUAACUCAAGACUCAGAAUCCUGGCCUGGAUCACGUCGCUUGGUGUCUUUCCCUCUCUCCUUACUUAAGGCAGCAGCAGCAGCAGCAGCAGCAGCAGCGUCGUCUUCCUCUCCGGCCUCGCCCUCCCUGCCCGCUUCUCCUCCCGGCCUCGUGCACGCCCGUCUCUGGAGGCGCUGGCGCUCCGGCUUCUCUCGCUUUUCCACCCGGACCCCUCCUCCUACAGGGUGGAAGAGCUUUGCUUGUAGUCCCGCAGAAUGGCAGAGGCGUAGGACACGUCGGGAGGGGUGCAGAGCACCGACUCGGACACGGGGGAGCUGGGCACCGAGCUGCCCGACGCCACCGA